GUUAAUAUGUUCGAGUGGUUAAGGAGAGAGACUCAAAAUCUGUUGGGCUAUGGCCUGCGUAGGUUCAAAUCCUGCUAUUGACG